rnacentral:rRNA from 1 species
GGUAACGGGGAAUUAGGGUUCGAUUCCGGAGAGGGAGCCUGAGAAACGGCUACCACAUCUAAGGAAGGCAGCAGGCGCGCAAAUUACCCAAUCCUAAUACAGGGAGGUAGUGACAAGAAAUAACAAUACAGAACCUUACGGUUUUGUAAUUGGAAUGAGUUAAGUAUAAACCCCUUAACAAGUAUCAAUUGGAGGGCAAGUCUGGUGCCAGCAGCCGCGGUAAUUCCAGCUCCAAUAGCGUAUAUUAAAGUUGUUGCAGUUAAAAAGCUCGUAGUUAAUCUUCUGUUAAUUUUUAUAUAUAAUAUCACGAUAUUUAUAUAAUAUUAACAUAAUUCAUAUUACUUUUUAGUAUAUGAAACUUUACUUUGAGAAAAUUAGAGUGCUUAAAGCAGGCUAUUGCCUUGAAUACUCCAGCAUGGAAUAAUAUUAAGGAUUUUUAUUCUUCUUAUUGGUUCUAGAAUAAAAAUGAUGAUUAA